rnacentral:lncRNA from 1 species
AGGGCAUGUCCUUACUGUGAGAGUACAAGACUGGCCCUCCCAGGGAGCUGACCUGCUGAUGGGAUAAGGUGUUGUUCCUUCUGGGGGUUGAAACAUAUCCACCUGUAGGAAAAUGAGAAAGAAAGCCACCUGGAUUUAAUUAAAGCUGUGAUUAAAUCUUUCUCCAUCAGGCUGGGUAGAGCCCCAGGAGAUUAUCUACUAUUUUCCUUAAUUCCCCUGGUGCAGGUUGAAAUAUGCCUUGGAUAGAAGUUAGGAAACAGCUUCAUGUGGAAAAGAGCUAGAACAUCAUAGCAGGAAUGCUGAGGCCAGAGCAGAAGAAAAAGGUGAAACUCAGCAGUGACUAAUAAUGCAAAACUGCUCUUGGGCAGGAGCCUGAGCAGUUAGAAAAUACUGAGAAGGAGGAAAGAUGCCAGAUUAGAGGCUGGUCACGGGAUGACUACGAGCCAUCAAUGUUUAUUUCUGGUGAAAAAGGCAAACUGAGUGUGGGGAUGCAGGGGGUGAGCUGAGAGCAGCCCCAGUGCUGCAGUUGUGAGGAAUGAUGCUGUAGCGAGGUUCUGGGUGUUCCUUACACAACACCACGGUGGAAAUGAGCCUAGAGAAAAGAUCCAUGUGCUGCUGGAGUGCUGUGAAGUCACACCCAGUGUGAGCUGAUGUUGUGACAGCCUGAGGCCCUGCUCUGCCAGCCCAGCCUUGCAUCUCCAUUCCUGGGGGGUUGGGGCACUCUUCACUCAUCCCUGUGGACAAUCACCUUGCAAGCCUGUAAAAAAUGAGGCCUGCCGAUGAGCUGUGCUGCUUACUGAGGCUCUGGACCUGCCAGUUGUUCCCCAUCCUAAACACACACACCUGAACUUUGCUGU